CCGAUACUUGCUAGUUAAUAGCAAUCAAGAUUCAAGAUUGAUACAGCUUCUGUGUCAAUUGGAAGCUCUGUGGACUAGACGCACCUCAGCAAGCGUUGGAUUGAGCGUUGGAUUGGCAAUUUAAAAAAAAAAAAAAAAAUCGCAAGGGUUGACAUGCAUUGCUAACGAAAGUCACCAUGGCUCUGAAUAAUUUCCUUAAUCUACAGGCC
rnacentral:misc_RNA from 1 species